rnacentral:tRNA from 1 species
GAAACUUAGGAUAACAUAAACCGAGGGCCUUCAAAGCCUUAAAUAAGAGUUAAACCCUCUUAGUUUCUGC